CACCACUGGUCUAUACCAUCCUGCCAAGUACAGCAGGCAUCCAUGCAUUCUGUACACACAUAUUUACUCCAGGAAUUUUUGUUAAAAGUUUCAUGAUCUCAUGCAGUGGCCAACUCUGCUAGCUGACAGGAUUAAAAAAACCACUGAGAUGCCUGAUGGCUUGGUUGCCUCAUAAAAAGGCAUACGAAGUACUAAGGAAGGGGCUACAGGCUCAGGGCAUUUUUUGCAUGCUGUUCGACCCCCACAGCCGCUUCAGGAAAGGCUAGGAAAUUUUUUUUGCCUGACACUCUGGAGAGUUCUGCCAGUCAGUAUUAACAGCAGGGGGCCAAAUGGACCAAUGGUCAGACCCCGGAAUAAAGCAGGUUCCCCUGUUCCUUUACUCUGUGAUACCACGUUUCUCUUGCUCACUAAACACAAUAUGCUGGGAUUCAUGGACUAUGUAAAUUCUUUUCUUCAAACAAGACCCAGAAGAGCUAAAAUUAAUGGGUCGAUCCUCAUCUCUUUUGAAGCAUCCAGCAGAAAUCCUUGGGGGAUUGCUGGAAGAGGCCAGAAGGCCAUUGGGUCCAACCCCCUGCUCAAUACUAGUACUUCACAGGAUUUGGAAGUGAUACUUCUAUUAAUGUAGCCUAAAGAGCAUUUGCACUUUUUGCAGCCACAUCACACUGUUGACUCAUAUUCAGCUUGUGAUCUACAACAAUUCCAAGAUCAUUCUCACUUGCUGUAUUGAGCCAAAUGUUCCCCCAUCUUAUAAUUAUGCAUUUGAUUUCUUUUUCCUAGGUGCACAACUUGGCAUUUGUCCUUGCUGAAUUUCAUUCUGUUUUCAACCCAGUUGUCAAUCAUUGCCUUGUACUUUUGAAGAAAAUGGAAUUUAUGAAAUUAACAAUUGUUAUUAAUCACUGUGUGUUUCCAUCACACCUUAACACAGGACUGGUGCAUGCUUAAGAGAUCACAAAAGGUCUAUGAGAUUGUGUGUGAGCUGCUCCCACUAUGGUAAAGGAUUUUGUCUGCACAAACAACAACAACAACAACAACAACAAAACAAACUCUGAACCAUGGUUAAUGUCAAGCAACAUGGCUGCCCUUUAAUAAGUUUGCAAUCCUAUUUCAACCCGUUUGACAUGGGAACUAUGAUGAAUCAUUAUUAAGGUGGAGGAAAGCAGAAUAGGGAGAAAUGGAACUGGAGAAAAGCUAGAGAGUGAGGUCACAUGGUUAAGAGAUAAGGAACUUUGCCUUUGUAGAUCUCCAGCAUUUUGCUUUAAAAAUCAAAGCAUGUUGCUUCUCUUAUUCUUCCUCCCACCAUCCUUUAAAAUGAAGAAAUUUUCACUUUCAAAAAAGGUCACACUAAAUGUGUUUUUAAAAAGGAAGUAGACAAUUUCCAUCAGCACUUCCAAAACAGUCUCAUUAGUAUGCCAAACCCUUAAAGGACAGGCAAGGAAGCUCUUUUCAUUACUGCGAUUAACCCACAUGAGAUGGGAAUUUAAAGUAUACCCAUAAGAAACGUUCACAGUUAAUUCAAGCAAUAUAAAAGAUAAAAAGUGCACAGGAUUGUCUUUUAAAAUAAAAAGGCAACUAAUUAAAAAUGCAGACUUCAUUAUAGAGCUCAUUUGCAUAAAUGGCCUAUCAAGGGAAAUGUCACUGAACAUGUGAAAGAACUCAAAGAUUCCUAGAUCAGCCUUUUCCAACAACUCAGGUCAGCUCCAGCCAAAGUGUUGGGAAGCCUGGGAACUGGAGUCCAAAACAUUUGAAGGGCACUUAGUUGCAGGAGUAUACCCUAGAUACUGCUUCUUUACAAGCUACUGUCUUAAUUAUCAGCAUUCCAUAAAAAAUAAAAGCUCAGUGGGUUUUACUGCUAAGUCUCCAAUUUUUGUUUUAAACUGUCCAGAAAACUUUGGCUAUUGGGUAGUACAGAAGCUAAAUAAAUAAAUAAAUUCUGGAAAAAACAUGGCAGGAUUAUGGUCAGUCUAUCCUUAUCCAAAUACCAAUACCACCCAAUUGUGUCAGCCACUCCCUUUGAAACCUACCCUAUCCCUGUUCGUGGCAGUGCGGAUUCCAUGGGACUGGUGCAGCUGCAAAGUAAGAAUAUCAACCAUGUCUACAACAAUUGCCCAGUUAUUUCAAAAAGGUGUCCUGAUUAUCAGCAGCAGAUUUAAGAUUAAUCAUUUUAUAAAAUUCUAGCACUUUACAAGAAUGUAGCUGAGCAGUGGUAGACUUAGGUAAAAUUUGACCUUGAACUUAAAAGGUUUUAUGGUACAUCCCUUUAUAAGGCCAUGUGUAUUACUUCAGUUGCACAACUAACUGUUGUCCCUGCACCCCACACAGUGACCAUCUCAUGCUUGACAAGGGCCUCUACACGAUGUCUUUUUAAAGAAACACCUCUACAAGUUUGUCCAACUAUGCACUUUAUAUUUAUUUAAAUCACAGCACAACAUGAAUACAAGAAUAAAAAGGAGUCUAUUUCUGUUGCCCACAACACUUGGCAUUCCUUGGGUGGUCAUUUGGAGGAUGCACAGUUCUGCACUUUUGGCCCCAGUUCCAGUCCUGGGUGCACCACUGCAGGUGAACAAAACUGUUACAGAUAUGGGCAGAAAGACAACUGUGUGGCUUGCUUGGAAGGACAUUGUAUUUCAAAGCAAAAAUUAAUCCUACCAUGCAGUAACUGCAGAACUGGCUCUGGAUGACACAGCAGACCCACAAAGAUUCCUCUGUCACCCAAAUGUCCAAAUAAGACAUGAAAAUCCAACACCUGGAAAUAGUAUGGAAAUGUUCAAGCUUUGGACACUGGCAUUUGAGUGGAAGACAAAGGAAACAAACACAAGUACUGUAACAACACCAUGGGGUAAAAUGGAAGGUGGUAAAGUAUACUACUGCUCUUCUGAGAAAGUAGCAAUCAAUAAGUGACUCUGACAAUGGUCAGCAAGAAUUUUGUUGCCAUUCAAACCAAAUAAGGUGAUGGCUGGUAUGAGGAACAGCUUCUCAUUAGGCAAUGGGAUCAUCUGGAAUUAUAAACUCAGCUUUCUAAAUCCUGCCAGUCUAGAAGAUGAAAGGUUAUUGCAGUUUAUUACAGCAGUAGCUUUGAACCAUAUCACAGAUUAAUGAAUGAUUAUUCCAGCUCCAUAAAAAUCAGUGUGCAAUUUCAGUUUUAAGUUGGCUUGAUAGAAAAUGCACAGUAUGACAAGCAUCCUAGGGCACAAUCCUAUGCAAGGUUAGACAGAAAAAGGGCUACAACCCCUAUUGUGCCUCUCGAAAUCUUUGUUGUUGACUUAAUAUUUAAAAAAAACGCAUUUCCUCAAGUGGCACAAGCUCUCACACUGUGGUUGCACUUAGACAUAACCAUAAGCCAUUUUUCCGUUAAAGGUACAAGUCUUGGCAAGCCUUGGAAUUGCACACUUCCUCCCUCCACUCUCUUCCUCCAUUGGAAGCUUUUCACUAACUAUGAUUUAGUGUUAUAUCUGAACCCAGACAAACUGAGAUGAACUUUAAUUUCAGUUUAUUACAACAAGCCCAUUUCAUACACUAAGAUUUGCAAGUAGCUUGUUUUAGUAAACUAUAAUUAAAACUAACCAUAACUUGCCUGGGUUCAGAUGUAACACUGAACAGUAGUUAGCUAAAAAUGGGGAAAAAAAGCUUCCAACCUGCUUAUAGCUUUUCUAAAUUUGUCCAUAUAAAAACAAACCACAGCAUAUCAUUAUAUAUAAGUGCAUCCAUGUUUGAAUAAGCAAAGGGAAAAAACCCCUAAUGAGUCUGAGGAGCAUUCCUUUGCAUUAGCCACAGAAAGAUAUCUACAUAUAAUGAUGCUUUACUUUAUAGUUAUUUACUUAUAAAUCAACCAAUAGCUGGAGUGCCAUCUCUGUUGUAAAUCCCUUCAGGAUUUUAAAAAUUGGAAAUAGUAUAUAUUUUGUUUUAAACAAACAAAUAAAAUACUAAGCAAACUCCAAGCAUUUGCAGACUUAAAAUGGACUGAGAUGACAGUGUUUCUUACCAUUUAUAAUGAAAAAAACACAACUGAGAAAAAAUUAGUAACCUGCUAAUUGCGUCUUCUUUAUAAGUGAUAAAUUAUAUUUCACAGAAAGAAGUGUCUUUCCAUGGCCUCACUUUAAAAACUAGGAAAAUCCCCCCACAAACAUCGCCACAGUUAUAAACACAAUGAAUAAGCAGUUAAGGCAACUGUCAUUUAUGUGCUGUAAUGAGUUUUCUGCAGACACAUAACAAAAUAUUUUGCUGCUAUUUUCAGUCAUCUGGACUGUCUCCUCCCUUCAGCAUGAGUCUGUCAAACCAUUAUUAAAUUCCUCUGAGCUUUAUAUCAUUCUA